UUCAGAUAUUGAGUGAAUUAUUCCACUCCUUGUAGGCAAGGAUUUUAUCUACCUACUCAAUUUUAAAGAGCAACGGAAGACCAUUAGAACUUUAAGACUACCCUGAUCCCUGGAGCUAUUUGGUAAUUAUUGCAAAAGGCCAUCCAUGACUUGGCUUGCUGAAAUGAAGAUGUGGGAAAUAUACUACUGAUGGUCACUCUAAAUUGGGGUGAGGUCUUUUAGCACUGAGGGGGGCCCAACCCUAAACAAGAAGAGUUGUCAGUAGAAAAGAAGAAACUUCUUACAAUUGAGGCUACCCAUUUCUGAAAGAGCACAAGUAACUUAUCUUCAGUUGAGUGUUGUAACUGACUUAAGCUGGAAGUAGUGGGGGUUAACAGUUACCCAUCAAGAAACAAGUUCAGGGAAUCCAACAGAUUGGAAUCCAAGAGAUUCUGUGCUGUGGAGAGCAAGCUGUCUAACAAUCUAGCAGUCCAACAACCCAUCCAGCAGAGGCCAAGGUCUGUAAUGAACUUGUUGAGGAAUCCACCAAGAGAUUCCCUGCUAUUCUGGAGAGAGAAGAAAUCGAGACCCUACGAUUUCAGAGUUGUAAGGAAACUGAGCCCUAGAGAGUGACUUAUUCAAGGGAACAAAGGUACGGAGUGGAAAAGGUCCUGGAGAUGUUCUCCACAGGAGAUCUAUAGGAGCUGGAUUCCUGAUGACCUGGAAGCCAGGAUUGCAGCGGGAUGGUGCAACCAGGCGGCUCAGCACAGAAGGCCUGAAAAGCCAGGAUUUCUUGGACUCCAGCCCAAGGUUUACAGAUGGCAGCUGAUGAGACCCUGCAUCCAGCCACUGUCCUUCUAGUGAUACUUCUAGGAUGCCUAUGAGAAGUCCAACCCUCGAACUUCCAAAAUUCAUAGGGAUCGCAAAUUAAGUCUUAUUGGAUGGGGACACCAGCUGUGAUUUGCAUAAUUACUCCAAACAGCCCAAUAAACCU